CGAUGAAGCCCAGCUUGCUGGGUGGAUUAGUGGCGAACGGGUGAGUAACACGUGAGUAACCUGCCCUUGACUCUGGGAUAAGCGUUGGAAACGACGUCUAAUACCGGAUACGAGCUUCCACCGCAUGGUGAGUUGCUGGAAAGAAUUUUGGUCAAGGAUGGACUCGCGGCCUAUCAGCUUGUUGGUGAGGUAAUGGCUCACCAAGGCGACGACGGGUAGCCGGCCUGAGAGGGUGACCGGCCACACUGGGACUGAGACACGGCCCAGACUCCUACGGGAGGCAGCAGUGGGGAAUAUUGCACAAUGGGCGAAAGCCUGAUGCAGCAACGCCGCGUGAGGGACGACGGCCUUCGGGUUGUAAACCUCUUUUAGCAGGGAAGAAGCGAAAGUGACGGUACCUGCAGAAAAAGCACCGGCUAACUACGUG
rnacentral:rRNA from 1 species